AACGAACGCUGGCGGCAUGCCUAACACAUGCAAGUCGAACGAGACCUUCGGGUCUAGUGGCGCACGGGUGCGUAACGCGUGGGAACCUGCCCUUAGGUUCGGAAUAACUCCCCGAAAGGGGUGCUAAUACCGGAUAAUGUCUUCGGACCAAAGAUUUAUCGCCGUUGGAUGGGCCCGCGUUGGAUUAGCUAGUUGGUAGGGUAAAAGCCUACCAAGGCGACGAUCCAUAGCUGGUCUGAGAGGAUGAUCAGCCACACUGGGACUGAGACACGGCCCAGACUCCUACGGGAGGCAGGAGUGGGGAAUAUUGGACAAUGGGCGAAAGCCUGAUCCAGCAAUGCCGCGUGAGUGAUGAAGGCCUUAGGGUUGUAAAGCUCUUUUACCCGGGAUGAUAAUGACAGUACCGGGAGAAUAAGCUCCGGCUAACUCCGUG
rnacentral:rRNA from 1 species